UACGGAGGGUGCAAGCGUUAUCCGGAUUCACUGGGUUUAAAGGGAGCGUAGGUGGGUUGGUAAGUCAGUGGUGAAAUCCCCGAGCUUAACUUGGGAACUGCCAUUGAUACUAUCAGUCUUGAAUACUGUGGAGGUUAGCGGAAUAUGUCAUGUAGCGGUGAAAUGCUUGGAUAUGACAUAGAACACCAAUUGCGAAGGCAGCUGGCUACACAAAUAUUGACACUGAGGCUCGAAAGCGUGGGGAUCAAACAGG
rnacentral:rRNA from 1 species